CAGAAGCUGUGAAGAGUUCAGCUCGGAGUCGGUCGAGAAGAAAAGAGGCUGCUGGGAGCGAGACAGAGUGUGCUGCCUGCGGGUGAGGUGGACAUUUGGAAGUGUGCCACCAUAGAAAUACAGAACAACGCCCCACAGACGUCUACUAACUGGACCGAAUUCAGACCGAAUGCUGCCGGUUACCUCCAGCUCCGAGGCGGCCGCGGGUUAGAUGUGGACGGUGCUGCUUCUCGUGAGCGAGGGAUAUUUGUUGUGUGUGCUGUGUGUCUCCGAUGCUUUGUACAUAGUUUUCUGAUUGCGAUUGUGUUUUGUGUCAAUAAAGCUCUAUCUUUGAAUAAA